GCGGGAAGAUGGCGGCGGUGGUCGCGGCUCCGGACGGGCCCCCCCCGCUGCUGCCCGAGCUGAAGAGCCAGUUCCGGACCCGCGAAGGCUCCUACCGGCUCCUGGCGCCGCCGGGGCCCGAGCCCCGCAGCCGGGGGGGCCCCGCCGCGCCGCCCCCCGCCGGCCCCUCCCCGCCCGGCCCCGCCGCGCUGCCCCCGGUGCGGCUCUCGCUGGUGCGGCUGCUGCUGCCCGAGGGGCCCGAGCCCGCCGAGCCGGGCGAGCCCGCCGAGCGCAGCCGCCUCUGCUGCAACCUGGGCCGGGAGCUCUACUUCUACUCGGGCUGCGGGCCGGGCCCCGGCGGCCGCGCCAGCAGGCGGUCCCUGGAUCUGAACAAGCCCAUCGACAAGCGCAUCUACAAAGGCACGCAGCCCACCUGCCAUGACUUCAACCAGUUCACGGCCGCCGCUGACAGCAUUUCGCUGCUGGUGGGCUUCUCCGCCGGCCAGGUCCAGUACCUGGAUCUCAUCAAGAAGGACACCAGCAAGUUGUUCAAUGAGGAGCGGCUCAUCGACAAGACGAAGGUGACCUACCUGAAGUGGAUCCCGGAGACGGAGAGCCUCUUCCUGGCCUCCCAUGCCAGUGGGCACCUGUACCUGUACAAUGUGGAGCAACCGUGUGGCUCUGCCUUGCCCCAGUACACUCUCCUCAAGCAGGGCGAGGGCUUUGCCGUCUACGCCUGCAAGAGCAAAAGCGCCCGCAACCCGCUGGUGAAGUGGGCGGUGGGCGAGGGGGCCCUCAACGAGUUCGCCUUCUCGCCCGACGGCCGCUACCUGGCCUGCGUCAGCCAGGACGGCUGCCUCCGCGUCUUCCACUUCGACUCCAUGCUGCUGCAGGGCAUGAUGAAGAGCUACUUCGGGGGGCUGCUGUGCGUCUGCUGGAGCCCCGACGGGCGCUACAUUGUCACCGGCGGCGAGGACGACCUGGUGACCGUCUGGUCCUUCGCCGAGGGCCGGGUCAUCGCCAGGGGGCACGGGCACAAGUCCUGGGUCAACGCGGUGGCCUUCGACCCCUACACCAGCAGCGUGGAGGAGGAGGAGCCGCCGGAGCUGAGCGGCAGCGACGAGGAGCCCCAGGAGCCGGCCCACUUUGGCCGGGUGCGGACUAGCAGCACCCUGUCCCGCCUCUCCAAGCACAGCACCAAGAGCUCCCCCUCGGUGACCUACCGCUUUGGCUCGGCCGGGCAGGACACUCAGUUCUGCCUGUGGGACCUGACGGAGGAUGUACUGUACCCCCACCACCCGCUCUCCCGGGCCCGGACUCUCACCAACACCUUCAGCACUGGCAUCCCCUCCUCGGUGAGCGGCGGGAGCAACCUGGCUGGGGAGCCGGGGGGCAGCAGCGGCGGCUCGAUCCUGCCCCGCUCGCUCUCGCGCUCCAACAGCCUGCCCCACCCGGCCGUCACCGGCGCCGCCAAGAGCCACGCGACGGACAGCGCCGUGCCCUUCAGCAUCGGCAAGUUCGCCACGCUCACCCUGCAGGAGCGCCGGGACAAGAGCGCCGAGAAGGAGCACAAGCGCUACCACAGCCUGGGCAACAUCAGCAAGAGCAACGACAAGAUCAACGGGGCGCCCCGGAGCAAGCUGGACACGGCCAAGGUCCUGGGCACGGCCCUCUGCCCCCGCAUCAAUGAGGUGCCCCUGCUGGAGCCCCUGGUCUGCAAGAAGAUCGCCCAUGAGCGGCUGACAGUGCUGCUCUUCCUGGAGGACUGCAUCAUCACUGCCUGCCAGGAGGGGCUCAUCUGCACCUGGGCCAGGCCUGGGAAAGCCAUUCUGAGGCCACAAGGGACCAGCGCCGUCAUCUAGCCUGACCUCCUGUGUAGCACAGGCCGUAGGAGCAUUAGCUCCUGCGGGAGCCAGAGCAGGUCUCUUAGUCCUGAUUUAAAACCGCUCUUAAAGCCCCGGCUGCCGGCGUCUCCUGGUGACCUGAGAAUCACGUUUAAAACACAAAAAACCUCACCUCUCAGAACGGCAGCUCGCCCAGCGGCACUGUGGUAUAACCCCGGGAGCGCCCGCCCCCCACUCGGUGCCAGCUUGGCCACCUGGCACUGCCCAGACUCCAGGCCCUCGUUACUUAACGCUAAUUGAUGCUGCGUGGCCAGACGCUUCCGUGGUGGUGAGCCGCUAACAGAGGUUUAAUAUAUAGAUCCCCAUCUACAGAGCACAGGCCCCUCCGCCGGCCCGGGUCACCCCCUCCGUUAAUGUAUUAAUGGCCCCCUGUUUAAAGCAUUGUGGAACUUCAGCCCUGGAGUGAUGGAAGCAGAGCCGGUCUCCCCAGAGCCCUCACUUUGCAUAACAGCCUGGAGUGCAGGAGCUGCCAGCGGCCCGGGCAAGGGGGAGGUUUUCUGCUGCCUCAGUUUCCUCAAAACACUCUGGAGUGGCCAGAAGGGCCUCUACAGGCCGGCACUACCUGCACUUCCUCUGCCAAGGGACGCCCACCCUGGAGCAUACGGAGUCCUGGAGACCUGGCACCCUGCCCCCACGUGGGCACAAGCUACCGCUGGCGUCCCCGGCACCACCUGCUGCUGUCCCAGAUCCCUUGCGGGCAGACUGGGCUUUGUCCUGAGCUAGCGCUCGCUCUGGUGGCGCCUGCCUGUCUGUCUGUCUGUCUCUGUCCUCACCCUGCAGGGCCUCUGCGCCCACUACUGAUCCCUGGGCCCAGAGGCAGCAGGGCUGAGUGGAAAGGUGCCCAGAGGGCAGCAAGUUGGCAAAUCUCUCCUCCUCUCCUGCGUGUGAACAACCCCCAAAGAGCUGGAGAAACUCCCAGGCUGCUGUGCCAACACCCUGCAUUUAUCUGCACUGGGCAUCUGCCCUGUGCCUGGGCAGAGAGAGGAGCCAGCCUCGGCAGUACCCGGCCUCCCCAUGGAGAAGGGCGCUGCCACACACCUUGGCUCUCGCUGGGCUCCCUGGAGCUGUGGGCGCUCACGGCGCUGCCUGGCUGCUGGCCCCUUCUUCCUGCAGCUGGCCACAGCGCCGACCCCUCCCACCUCUAAAGCCUUGGCUGCGAGCUCCGGCUGCGGGUGCCUGUGUGCUGUGCGGAGACCCUCUCCCUGGGAAUGGCCCCCCUGGGCUCACGUGGGGGGGAGGGACUUGGCCCCAGCUGCCUGAGCGACAGCCACGGCCUCCACAGCUGUGGGAAGGCUGGCAGGAGGUACACCUUUCGCUGGGCUGGGCCUGGGGAACUCCCCACCGCUGGAGCAGGUGCCGUGCCCCCCCACCCCCCCCGGGGAGCUGACCCAAACACCCCGUGAAUCCCUGUGGCGCGGCUUGGCUUGGCCUUGCCCCUCCUUGUCGUACACUCAGCGUGGGCCCUGGGAGAGCCCGAUCAGCACAAAGAACAGUAUUAGCCUUGGUGUCCCCCCCAUGGCCACUCACCCGUGCCCUCUAGCCCCCUCCCCCACAGGCAGCCCUCUGGGACUCUGCAGGCACCCUGGGGCCCUAUUACUGCUGGCCUUGGGGGCACCUGCCCACUGGACUCCCCCAGGUGGGGGGCAGGGCCCGCAGGGAGUGGGGACCCCUCUGACGUCUGUUCCCCUUGUGGCUGAAUGUCUAAGUUAUGGAGCUGCGGUUCUGCAAGUUCUUAUUUAUACUAAAGAAACGAUUUUCACA